rnacentral:rRNA from 1 species
AACGAACGCUGGCGGCAUGCCUAACACAUGCAAGUCGAACGAGACCUUCGGGUCUAGUGGCGCACGGGUGCGUAACGCGUGGGAACCUGCCUUUAGGUUCGGAAUAACAGUGAGAAAUUACUGCUAAUACCGGAUGAUGUCUUCGGACCAAAGAUUUAUCGCCUUUAGAUGGGCCCGCGUUGGAUUAGCUAGUUGGUGGGGUAAAGGCCUACCAAGGCGACGAUCCAUAGCUGGUCUGAGAGGAUGAUCAGCCACACUGGGACUGAGACACGGGCCCAGACUCCUACGGGAGCAGCAGUGGGGAAUAUUGGACAAUGGGCGAAAGCCUGAUCCAGCAAUGCCGCGUGAGUGAUGAAGGCCUUAGGGUUGUAAAGCUCUUUACCCGAGAUGAUAAUGACAG